UUUUUUUUUUUUUUUUUUUCUGACUUCGGAGAAGCAAAGAUAAAGGGGAUGACUUUUCCGAUCGAGAACGAAAGGAAUCGAAUUGAAGGAGGAGAGGGUAAGAACUAAAGAAGAGUACGACGGAAGAGAAGUUGUCAUUAGCCAAUCACUCUUUCACACGUCAUCGUUUGGUUUCUCCGCUUUAGAUGCUUCCUACACAUCGAAAUUAUAACCAAAUUGCUCCUUCAAGUUGAGUUCUGUUAAUCAUAUAUACAUGUUGCCUUCAGUUUUUGUUUAUUACAUAUGUGGUAUCCACUGUCGCAUAUGCAAAAGAGACGAAUUGUGUGUAAUUUGUUGCCUCACAGAUGGUAAACUGACAGAUUAUUAUCAACAUUUAGAGGCUGCAGCCUGCUAAUUAAAAAAGGAAGGUCAUCAUUGCUUAUCUCAUAGUUGCUUGGUUCAACAAUUCUAUAGAUUACCAAAAA